rnacentral:rRNA from 1 species
UCAGGCCUAACACAUGCAAGUCGAACGAAGUAGCAAUACUUAGUGGCAGACGGGUGAGUAACAUGUAGGUAUCUGCCCUUUGGCCUGGAAUAACACGAGGAAACUUGUGCUAAUACCGGAUAAGUCUUUACGGAGAAAGCUUUAUGCACCAUUGGAUGAGCCUGCACUUGAUUAGUUUGUUGGUGGGGUAAUGGCCUACCAAGACUGUGAUCAAUAGCUGAUUUGAGAGGAUGAUCAGCCACAUUGGGACUGAGACACGGCCCAAACUCCUACGGGAGGCAGCAGUGGGGAAUCUUGCACAAUGGAGGAAACUCUGAUGCAGCGAUGCCGCGUGAGUGAAGAAGGCCCUUGGGUUGUAAAGCUCUUUCGUCGGGGAAGAAAAUGACUGUACCCGAAUAAGAAGGUCCGGCUAACUUCGUGCCAGCAGCCGCGGUAAUACGAAGGGACCUAGCGUAGUUCGGAAUUACUGGGCUUAAAGAGUUCGUAGGUGGUUAAAAAAGUUGGUGGUGAAAUCCCAGAGCUUAACUCUGGAACUGCCAUCAAAACUUUUUAGCUAGAGUAUGAUAGAGGAAAGCAGAAUUUCUAGUGUAGAGGUGAAAUUCGUAGAUAUUAGAAAGAAUACCAAUUGCGAAGGCAGCUUUCUGGAUCAUUACUGACACUGAGGAACGAAAGCAUGGGUAGCGAAGAGGAUUAGAUACCC